AAUCACUGUUAGGGGUGCUCUUUUAUUAAAAGAGCUGAGAUAAUACCCUUGAACCUGAUAUGUUGUAAUCGACAUCGGAGGGAAACGGGAAGAAAAAAUA
rfam:Macellibacteroides sp. HH-ZS contig_00007, whole genome shotgun sequence.